rnacentral:rRNA from 1 species
AUUGAACGCUGGCGGCAUGCCUUACACAUGCAAGUCGAGCGGCAGCGCGGGGGCAACCCUGGCGGCGAGCGGCGAACGGGUGAGUAAUACAUCGGAACGUGUCCAGUAGUGGGGGAUAACCUGUCGAAAGAUAGGCUAAUACCGCAUACGAUCUACGGAUGAAAGCGGGGGACCGCAAGGCCUUGCGCUAUUGGAGCGGCCGAUGUCGGAUUAGCUAGUUGGCGGGGUAAAAGCCCACCAAGGCGACGAUCCGUAGCUGGUCUGAGAGGACGACCAGCCACACUGGAACUGAGACACGGUCCAGACUCCUACGGGAGGCAGCAGUGGGGAAUUUUGGACAAUGGGGGCAACCCUGAUCCAGCCAUGCCGCGUGAGUGAAGAAGGCCUUCGGGUUGUAAAGCUCUUUCGGCGGGGACGAAACGGUUCGUGCCAACACCACGGACUAAUGACGGUACUCGCAGAAGAAGCACCGGCUAACUACGUGCCAGCCGCCGCAGUAA